rnacentral:rRNA from 1 species
CCUACGGGAGGCAGCAGUGGGGAAUAUUGGUCAAUGGGCGAGAGCCUGAACCAGCCAAGUCGCGUGAGGGAGUACUGCCCUAUGGGUUGUAAACCUCUUUUGUCGGGGAGCAAAAGCCGGACGUGUCCGGCUGUGAGAGUACCCGAAGAAAAAGCAUCGGCUAACUCCGUGCCAGCAGCCGCGGUAAUACGGAGGAUGCGAGCGUUAUCCGGAUGUAUUGGGGUUAAAGGGUGCGCAGGCGGAUUUUUAAGUCAGCGGUCAAAUCGUGGGGCUCAACCCCAUCCAGCCGUUGAAACUGGGGAUCUAGAGUGUGCGAGAGGUAUGCGGAAUGCGUGGUGUAGCGGUGAAAUGCAUAGAUAUCACGCAGAACCCCGAUUGCGAAGGCAGCAUACCGGUGCACAACUGACGCUCAGGCACGAAAGCGUGGGUAUCGAACAGGAUUAGAUACCCUGGUAGUC